rnacentral:rRNA from 1 species
GAUGAACGCUGGCGGCGUGCCUAAUACAUGCAAGUCGAGCGGACCAAAGAGAGCUUGCUCUCUGAGGUUAGCGGCGGACGGGUGAGUAACACGUGGGUAACCUGCCUGUAAGACGGGGAUAACUUCGGGAAACCGAAGCUAAUACCGGAUGAUAAAGAGAAACGCCUGUUUCUCUUUUGAAAGUCGGCCUUGUGCUGACGCUUACAGAUGGGCCCGCGGCGCAUUAGCUAGUUGGUGAGGUAACGGCUCACCAAGGCGACGAUGCGUAGCCGGCCUGAGAGGGUGAUCGGCCACACUGGGACUGAGACACGGCCCAGACGCCUACGGGAGGCAGCAGUAGGGAAUCUUCGGCAAUGGACGAAAGUCUGACCGAGCAACGCCGCGUGAGCGAUGAAGGCCUUCGGGUCGUAAAGCUCUGUUGUCAGAGAAGAACAAGUACCGGAGUAACUGCCGGUACCUUGACGGUACCUGACCAGAAAGCCACGGCUAACUACGUGCCAGCCGCCGCGGUAA